GGGCAGGUUCUCGAGUGGUCAAAGAGGACAGACUGUAAAUCUGUUGGCUCCGCCUUCGAAGGUUCGAAUCCUUCUCUGCCCA
rnacentral:tRNA from 1 species